rnacentral:rRNA from 1 species
UCACCUCGUCACGUACGCCACGAGGUCGUCCAGGUCCCGGCGCGAGGACCCGCCGUCGGCCACGGCGGCGCGAAUGGCCUGCCCGAGCGCCCUCGCCCGCUCCCGGACUGUCGCCCCUUCCUCCGAUCGCAUCGCCCUCUCGGUGGCCUCGCGGAUGGCGGCCGCCGGCGUGACUUGCCCGCGCUCCUCCCAUGGCCGCACGAGGACGCCGGCCCCGAGGUAUUUGCACACCAGCUCCGCGUCCCAUGGCUGGUCGCUGUGCAUCGGCCACGCCAGGAUGGCCUUCCCGUGGCUCAGCCCCUCCACCGUCGAGUUCCACCCGCAGUGGCUCAUGAAAGCCGCCGUCGCGACGUGCGCCAGGAUCUCCAGCUGCGGCGCCCACCCGGUGACCACCACGCCCGUCCCCUGAGCCGCUGCGUCGCCGAGCAGGGACGCCGCUGCGUCGCCGAGCAGGGACGCCGCCGCGUCCGCGAGCCCGCGCGCGCCGCCGGACUCGCGCAUGUCCGCCCGGUCGGCGUCGCGCAGCACCCAGACGAACCGCUGGUUGGUGUCGCGCAGCGCUGCGGCCAGCUCCCUCGCCUGCUCUGUCCGGAGAGACGACGUCGUGCCGAACGAAAUGUACAGCACCGACAACGGCGGCUGCCUGUCGAGCCAUUCCAGGCACUCGUGUCGCUCCGCCGGAGCCUGUGCGGCCGCGGCCGCAUCGGUGGCGGGCAGCACCGGGUUCAGAGGCCCGAUGGCGAACAGCGUGUGGCCGUCGGAGGAGGAAGCGCUCUGGGCGGCGAGCACGUCGAGGAACUCGCCCUCGAGCGCGCGGCAGGUGUUCACGACCAUGCCGGCCCCGGGCGCGCGGCGGCGCUCCUGGCCCAUCCGCUUGGCGAGCGCCACGAACUCCUUGGUCGCGCAGGCGUCUGCCGGGUGGAACACCAUCCCGUGGUCCCGCAGGAGGCGGUGGCCGGGGUCCAUCCACCCGACGUUGUAGGACGCAGCGAGGCAGUGCACCCCGAGCGCCUCCCCGUUGGGCAGCCGGGCUGCUUCGCCGGCCGCGAACGCCGCCAUGCGGUCGUGCAGGACCACGACGCGGCGGUGGGACGCCGAGAGCUCGUGCAGGAGCGCGGACAGCGAGGCCCGGGCGGCGCCGCCGUCGCAGAAGGCCUCGAACAGGGGCUGCAUGUGCGUCGGGAACGGCGAGGACGGGUCGGGGUCCGGGGACGCGUGCGCCGGGACGUCGAGGGCGCGGAAGCGGAGGGCGAGGAAGGAGCCGGCGUCCCAGCCGUGCACGCGCGCGCGGGCCUCCCGGAGGUGCGGCUCCGGCGCGGCGAAGUGCACGGGGAUCCCCCGGCCCGCGAGCAGCAGCGACACGUGCAGGAGCUGGUUCAGGUGGCCCUGCGCCGGGAACGGCACGGUGACCACGGCGACGGGAAGGGAUUCCAU